rnacentral:antisense_RNA from 1 species
UUUGGUGACUGUGCUCCUCCAGACCAGUUACCGUGGUUCAAAAGAACUUCAACUCUUGCAAACCUUCGAAAAAACCACCCGGCAAAGUAGUUUUUUC